rnacentral:rRNA from 1 species
UACGUAGGGUGCGAGCGUUAAUCGGAAUUACUGGGCGUAAAGCGUGCGCAGGCGGUUUUGUAAGACUGUCGUGAAAUCCCCGGGCUCAACCUGGGAAUGGCGAUGGUGACUGCAAGGCUAGAGUUUGGCAGAGGGGGGUAGAAUUCCACGUGUAGCAGUGAAAUGCGUAGAGAUGUGGAGGAAUACCGAUGGCGAAGGCAGCCCCCUGGGCCAAUACUGACGCUCAUGCACGAAAGCGUGGGGAGCAAACAGG